rnacentral:rRNA from 1 species
UAACGCGUGGGAAUCUGCCCUGGAGUGGGGGAUAACCGAGGGAAACCUCGGCUAAUACCGCAUACGUCCUGAGGGAGAAAGAUUUAUCGCUCUAGGAGGGGCCCGCGUCGGAUUACCUAGUUGGCGGGGUAACGGCCCACCAAGGGGACGAUCCGUAGGUGGUCUGAGAGGAUGAUCAGCCACACUGGGACUGAGACACGGCCCAGACUCCUACGGGAGGCAGCAGUGGGGAUUAUUGGACAAUGGGCGCAAGCCUGAUCCAGCAAUGCCGCAGGAGUGAUGAAGUCCUUAGGGUUGU